rnacentral:rRNA from 1 species
CGGCGGACGGGUGAGUAACACGUGGGCAACCUGCCUGUAAGACUGGGAUAACUCCGGGAAACCGGGGCUAAUACCGGAUAAUUCUUUCCCUCACAUGAGGGAAAGCUGAAAGAUGGUUUCGGCUAUCACUUACAGAUGGGCCCGCGGCGCAUUAGCUAGUUGGUGAGGUAACGGCUCACCAAGGCAACGAUGCGUAGCCGACCUGAGAGGGUGAUCGGCCACACUGGGACUGAGACACGGCCCAGACUCCUACGGGAGGCAGCAGUAGGGAAUCUUCCGCAAUGGACGAAAGUCUGACGGAGCAACGCCGCGUGAGUGAUGAAGGUUUUCGGAUCGUAAAACUCUGUUGUUAGGGAAGAACAAGUACCGGAGUAACUGCCGGUACCUUGACGGUACCUAACCAGAAAGCCACGGCUAACUACGUGCCAGCAGCCGCGGUAAUACGUAGGUGGCAAGCGUUGUCCGGAAUUAUUGGGGCGUAAAGCGCGCGCAGGCGGUUCCUUAAGUCUGAUGUGAAAGCCCCCGGCUCAACCGGGGAGGGUCAUUGGAAACUGGGGAACUUGAGUGCAGAAGAGAAGAGUGGAAUUCCACGUGUAGCGGUGAAAUGCGUAGAGAUGUGGAGGAACACCAGUGGCGAAGGCGACUCUUUGGUCUGUAACUGACGCUGAGGCGCGAAAGCGUGGGGGAGCAAACAGGAUUAGAUACCCUGGUAGUCCAC